UCCCUGGUGGCUCAGAUGGUAAAGCAUCUGCCUGCAAUGCUUGAGACCCAGGUUCAAUCCCUGGGUUGGGAA
rnacentral:tRNA from 1 species